rnacentral:rRNA from 1 species
CCUACGGGUGGCAGCAGUCGAGAAUCAUUCACAAUGGGGGAAACCCUGAUGGUGCGACGCCGCGUGGGGGAAUGAAGGUCUUCGGAUUGUAAACCCCUGUCAUGUGGGAGCAAAUUAAAAAGAUAGUACCACAAGAGGAAGAGACGGCUAACUCUGUGCCAGCAGCCGCGGUAAUACAGAGGUCUCAAGCGUUGUUCGGAAUCACUGGGCGUAAGGCGCGCGUAGGCUGUUUCGUAAGUCGUGUGUGAAAGGCGCGGGCUCAACCCGCGGACGGCACAUGAUACUGCGAGACUAGAGUAAUGGAGGGGGAACCGGAAGUCUCGGUGUAGCAGUGAAAUGCGUAGAUAUCGAGAGGAACACUCGUGGCGAAGGCGGGUUCCUGGACAUUAACUGACGCUGAGGCACGAAGGCCAGGGGAGCGAAAGGGAUUAGAUACCCGUGUAGUC